rnacentral:rRNA from 1 species
AGAGUUUGAUCCUGGCUCAGAAUGAACGCUGGCGGCGUGCCUAACACAUGCAAGUCGGAUGUGCCGCAAGGUGCAUGGCAGACGGGUGAGUAACGCGUGGGGAAUCUACCUCUUUGUGGGGAAUAACGCUCCGAAAGGAGUGGUAAUACCGCAUGAGAUCCAUGGCUGGGAUGCUGUGGAUGAAACCUGGGGACCGCAAGGCCUGGGGCAAGGAGAGGAUCCUGCGUCUGAUUAGCUAGUUGGUGAGGUAAUGGCCCACCAAGGCGACGAUCAGUAGCCGGCCUGAGAGGGUGAUCGGCCACACUGGAACUGAGACACGGUCCAGACUCCUACGGGAGGCAGCAGUGGGGAAUUUUGCGCAAUGGGCGAAAGCCUGACGCAGCAACGCCGCGUGGGUGAUGAAGGUCUUCGGAU